rnacentral:rRNA from 1 species
AUUGAACGCUGGCGGCAGGCUUAACACAUGCAAGUCGAACGAAUGGCGGACGGGUGAGUAAUUCUUGGGAAUCUAGCUUACGGAGGGGGAUAACUACGGGAAACUUUAGCUAAUACCGCUAACCACAGGUUGAGCCCACGUGGGAUUAGGUAGUUGGUGAGGUAAAGGCUCACCAAGCCGACGAUCCCUAGCUGACCUGAGAGGAUGACCGGCCACACUGGGACUGAGAAACGGCCCAGACUCCUACGGGAGGCAGCAGUGGGGAAUAUUGCGCAAUGGGGGCAACCUGACGCAGCCAUGCCGCGUGAGUGAAGAAGGCGUUCGGGUUGUAAAGUUCUGUGGGUAGAGAAGCGGUAACUAAAGAAGAAGCACCGGCUAACUCCGUGCCAGCAGCCGCGGUAAUAC